rnacentral:lncRNA from 1 species
CUGAAAACCACUGUUGACGCCUUCCAGAAUGAGCUGAGACUCUUGAAGGACAAGUUCCACAAAGACAGCAUGGGUGAAAUAGGUGAGCAGCUUGCACUACUGAAUCAGCACAGCCAGCUCAUCCAGACCAUCCUGGACAAAUUGGGUGACUUGCAGGAAGAGCUGAACUCUUUCCCCAAGCAGGCAGACCUGGUACAAUGGAGCUGUCUCUUCAGGUCUCUUGCUG